GCACAACUGCAGAACCUCCUGUCUGUCCUCAAGUGCUUGCUUGCCCCACUUAUGGAAGCAGAGCUGCUCUCUGGGAAGGAAGGCACCUCUGGAACAUCUCCCGAACUUCACCUUGACAGAUAUUUCCAAAAAAAGAGUCUCAUUUUCAGAAGACAAGAAUGGGACGGACAAGGAAACAGGACAGGACAGUACAGGCGACCCAUUUAGAGCUGAAUGACUAUGUUCAGAGACGGCGCUAAAUGACACCCUCCACCUC
rnacentral:lncRNA from 1 species